CGGGGCACUCGUCUCCAAAGAUCCACGCCGGCGAAAGGAUUACUCAGAACCGCGCCAGCGUUGGCAGCGGCCUGAGCACUCCUCCCUCAGCGUUCUUGAGCCCGGACCAAGUAUUCAAGGUGGGUUUCUUGAUUUCUUCUUCUCCAGGAAUCGUCUCUCUGUGCUGCGUGAUUUGGUUGUUUCGCGUGAUUUGGUCGUGAUAUGAUUCUUUUGCGGGUGCAGGGUGGGAUCCAGGUCGGUUACCCUGGGUGAUUGUUGUGGUGUGUUUUUACUGGUGCUAGUAUAGUAGUAGGUAAAGAUGCACCGCUGUCAAAACUCAAAAGGAGACAAAUUGGGCUUCUUUGGUGAUUCUAUUUGUAUUUGUGCAUCAACAUCGCCCCUGGUUUGUAGGGAAAAUUGUCAAUUUCCUUAGCAGUAUUUUUGUCUUUUUUUUUUGGGCAGGUAUAAACAUGAGCUGACGAGCAGUGCUUUUGACAUAUGGUGUGCGUUAGAUAAUCGUCAGAAUUCCUGGGGCCUUAUUAGUACAACAUUUUGUCAGUUCUGUAAUGAUCGUUGAACCCAUGCUCAUACGGUAGUUGUGUUAAGAAGAAUGUCAGGCCUGGGACCUGUAGGAAUGUCAGGCCUGGGUCCUGUAGAAUUGAUAGAUUCUUUGAACAUGUGCGAUUAUGUGCUCAGGUUAUUCGCCUGUUCCUCCGUUUGGAAUAUGCUAGUAUGAAUUCCUAAUAGUUUAAUUUUCACUUUUCAGAACUGCAAUAUUUAUAGUACCUACUAAUUCACAUUAAACCACCUACAGGUUGCAUGCCAUUAAGCAACCCGCGCCUCUCCCUCCAUCCUGCUCUUCAUCCGACUUCGUAACCGUGGCUGUGCCUCUCCAGUCGUGACUCCUCCCAUUCUCGUCAGCUGUCCGUUGGCCUCUCCUCGUGCAGACGCACAGCCCCGACACAUCCACCUCACAGAGCGCCAGAGCCCCUCGUGAUGCGGCAGCGGCAGGGCAUAGCAGCAGCGGCAAACGUGGGACAGCACAAAACGACGGUGACUCAGAGCAUGGCCAGACUGGCCUUGCUCAUCAAUGUUGGC
rnacentral:lncRNA from 1 species